UUCCUCAAACCUCUUCCCCUUAUUAUUAGCCUCUCCCACCUCCCACUUCUUCCUUUAGAGCUGGGUAGAAUCUUUCUCUUUGGGCAGAAUCUUUCUCUUUUCUUUGAAAACACAGUAACAUAAAAAGCUUUGAAUUUAACCUAUCAAAUGCUAGACACAGGAAAAGAAGAGCUAAUAGUCAAACUGCUUGUGGUGGUACCCCUGACUAUCUUACCAAUAAGAAGCCCUGAAAAGGCAGGCCCACUACAGUUUUUUUGCUGAGAGAACAUCUGAGAUGUCAGGGGAUAGUGACUGUUUCAGGGACACCAGUUCUUCCCAUCAUUAGCAUGUGGGCCAACAUGUUCCCCAACUUCCUACUGGCAAAGAGGCCUGAAUCUUCAAGGCUUUCCAUCUCUGCUCUGCCAGUUUUCUGGUGAACUUGUCUCAGCCAAAUUUUUUAGCCACAAGGAAGUAAUUUUCUCCUAUUUCAACAUUCCAUGCCUCUUCUCAGAAGUCUCUUUGGGUUUCAGUUGGCUUGAAACUGGAGACUUCUGCUUUGAUGUUGAAGUUAAUUUCCUGAUGAGAGAUCCCAGCAGUGUGGAGUGGGUACAACAGCUGUGGGAAGGAAAGACCCGCCAAAGCACUCUCCACAGCAGAGGAGUAACUCAUCCCCUACAGUGGUCUAGCCUGAGACCUCUUUCUACUCCCUCCUACAGCAAUUCCUCCCCAUACCAGGACCCAGCCAGGACCAGCAGUUCCAUUGGGAAGGAGCUGAGGAGCCUGGCAGCAUCUUACAGCCAGGGACCAUCCCACAAUGCCAGCUAGGAGCAGGGUAACCAGGGACAAGUAAGGACAGCCCCAGAACCAUGCACCUGCAGGAGGACAGGGCCAGGCCAGGUCAUGGCUAAGCCCAGUUGAGCAGGGCUCAUGGCUGAGCCAGCCUGUGGGAAGCUGGAGUCCAGAGGCUCCAGGGGUGGCAUGGGGACCUGGGGCAGGUGGAGGAUCCAUGGGCAGGCUCAGCAGGGACAAACAGGGCUGUCAGAGCCUUUCAAUAUCCAGCACCUGCUAUAAAGUCUAAUAAUACAUGACUCUUUUCAAUAAAAGUCACUUAGGAUUUCUUAAAGCUUUUUGAAGACCAUUGUUACAGCAAAAGAACAAAAUAAAUUGCUGU